UACAGAGACUGCAAGCGUUGUUCGGAUUCAUUGGGCGUAAAGGGUCCGUAGGCGGUCGGUUAAGUCGGAUGUGAAAUCUCGUGGCCUAACCACGAGCGGUCAUUCGAAACUAAUCGGCUAGAGGGCUGGAGAGGUGAGUGGAAUUCCCAGUGUAGCGGUGAAAUGCGUAGAUAUUGGGAGGAACACCAGUGGCGAAGGCGGCUCACUUGACCGGUACUGACGCUGAUGCGCGAAAGCGUGGGGAGCAAACAGG
rnacentral:rRNA from 1 species